GACGAACGCUGGCGGCGUGCCUAAUACAUGCAAGUAGAACGCUGACGGAGGAGCUUGCUUCUCUGGAUGAGUUGCGAACGGGUGAGUAACGCGUAGGUAACCUGCCUGGUAGCGGGGGAUAACUAUUGGAAACGAUAGCUAAUACCGCAUAAUAGUAGAUGUUGCAUGACAUUUGCUUAAAAGGUGCAAUUGCAUCACUACCAGAUGGACCUGCGUUGUAUUAGCUAGUUGGUGGGGUAACGGCUCACCAAGGCGACGAUACAUAGCCGACCUGAGAGGGUGAUCGGCCACACUGGGACGGAGACACGGCCCAGACUCCUACGGGAGGCAGCAGUAGGGAAUCUUCGGCAAUGGACGGAAGUCUGACCGAGCAACGCCGCGUGAGGGAAGAAGGUUUUCGGAUCGUAAAGCUCUGUUGUAAGAGAAGAACGAGUGUGAGAGUGGAAAGUUCACACUGUGACGGUAUCUUACCAGAAAGGGACGGCUAACUACGUG
rnacentral:rRNA from 1 species